rnacentral:rRNA from 1 species
AUCCGGAAACGGGUGCUAAUACCGCAUAGUUUUCUUGAUCGCAUGAUCGGGAAGGAAAGACGGCCCUUUGUGCUGUCGCUUAUGGAUGGACCCGCGGCGUAUUAGGUUAGUUGGUGAGGUAACGGCUCACCAAGACGAUGAUACGUAGCCGACCUGAGAGGGUGAUCGGCCACAUUGGGACCUGAGACACGGCCCAAACUCCUACGGGAGGCAGCAGUAGGGAAUCUUCCGCAAUGGACGAAAGUCUGACGGAGCAACGCCGCGUGAGUGAAAAGAAGGUUUUCGGAUCGUAAAACUCUGUUGUCAGAGAAGAACAAGUUUGGAGAGUAACUGCUCCAGCCUUGUACGGUAUCUGACCAGAAAGCCACGGCUAACUACGUGCCAGCCGCCGC